rnacentral:pre_miRNA from 9 species
UCUCGAUAGCGUUAAAGUUAACUUAAAUUUGUAUGGAGUUGGAACGUUUGCCUACGCUUGCCGCUAGGGGCGCUGUUCCGACUGCAUACAAAUUUUAAUUAACUUUUACGCUAUCGA